AGAUUGAUGAUGACACUCAAAUUACAAUCUUUUGAAAAACUGAACAAAAUGAGUAAAACCCUAAACCAUUGUUAUCAUUACUGAGGUCC
ensembl:snoRNA SNORD116 Small nucleolar RNA SNORD116